rnacentral:rRNA from 1 species
CCUACGGGAGGCAGCAGUGGGGGAUAUUGCACAAUGGGGGAAACCCUGAUGCAGCGACGCCGCGUGUGGGAAGACGGUCCUCUGGAUUGUAAACCACUGUCCCCAGGGACGAAGAUGACGGUACCUGGGGAGGAAGCCCCGGCUAACUACGUGCCAGCAGCCGCGGUAAUACGUAGGGGGCAAGCGUUAUCCGGAAUUACUGGGUGUAAAGGGGGCGCAGGCGGGAAUGCCAGGCAGGAGUGAAAUCCCUGGGCCUAAACCCGGGACUGCUGUUGAAACUGGGGGGCUGGAGUGGAGGGGAGGCAGGCGGAAUGCCUGGUGUAGCGGUGAAAUGCGUAGAUAUCAGGAGGAACACCGGUGGCGAAGGCGGCCUGCUGGACUGCAACUGACGCUGAGGCACGAAAGCGUGGGGAGCAAACAGGAUUAGAUACCCGAGUAGUC